rnacentral:rRNA from 1 species
AUUGAACGCUGGCGGAAUGCUUUACACAUGCAAGUCGAACGGUAGAGGGGGCAGCCCCUCGAGAGUGGCGAACGGGUGAGUAAUAUAUCGGAACGUGCCCAGUCGUGGGGGAUAACGUAGCGAAAGUUACGCUAAUACCGCAUACGAUCUAAGGAUGAAAGCGGGGGAUCGCAAGACCUCGCGCGAUUGGAGCGGCCGAUAUCAGAUUAGGUAGUUGGUGGGGUAAAGGCUCACCAAGCCAACGAUCUGUAGCUGGUCUGAGAGGACGACCAGCCACACUGGAACUGAGACACGGUCCAGACUCCUACGGGAGGCAGCAGUGGGGAAUUUUGGACAAUGGACGCAAGUCUGAUCCAGCCAUUCCGCGUGCAGGAUGAAGGCCCUCGGGUUGUAAACUGCUUUUGUACGGAACGAAAAGGUCUCUCUUAAUACGGGGGGCUCAUGACGGUACCGUAAGAAUAAGCACCGGCUAACUACGUGCCUGCCGCCGCAGUAA